rnacentral:rRNA from 1 species
UACGUAGGGGGCUAGCGUUGUCCGGAAUCAUUGGGCGUAAAGCGCGUGUAGGCGGUCCGGUAAGUCCGCUGUGAAAGUCGGGGGCUCAACCCUCGGAUGCCGGUGGAUACUGUCGGGCUUGAGUACGGAAGAGGCGAGUGGAAUCCUGGUGUAGCGGUGAAAUGCGCAGAUAUCAGGAGGAACACCAAUGGCGAAGGCAGCUCGCUGGGACGGUACUGACGCUGAGGCGCGAAAGCGUGGGGAGCAA